rnacentral:tRNA from 2 species
GCGAGUAUGGUCUAACGGUAUGACGCGACCUUCCCAAGGUUGAGACCGGGGUCCGACUCCCCGUACUCGCACUA